GUUCCCCGCGAAGCCAUGCGGUACAACGAGAAGGAGCUGCAGGCGCUGUCCCGGCAGCCGGCCGAGAUGGCGGCCGAGCUGGGCAUGAGGGGCCCCAAAAAGGGCAGCGUGCUGAAGCGGCGUCUGGUGAAGCUGGUGGUGAAUUUUCUCUUCUACUUUCGGACAGACGAGGCCGAGGUAGGGGCGUCCCGGGCGCGCGGGCGGGUCCCAGGCUGGGCCCCGCGGAAGCCGGAUGCUCACCGCCCCGUCCCGGCGCCCGUGUCUUCCCCAGCCCGUCGGAGCCCUGCUGCUGGAGCGCUGCAGAGUCAUCCGGGAAGAACCCGGCACCUUCUCCAUCAGUGAGUGGGGCCAGGGAGGCCAGCGGCGCCUCCCGCAGCUCGGGGCACCCGCAGCGCCGCACUGUCCUCUCCCCAGGCGCCCAAGGUCUCCUCUGUGUCCCCAGCCUGGCGCCACCCUCCCCAGACACAAGAGUGCAUUGUCUACGGGCAGCUCAAGGUCAAGUUCUCCUGGCGGGCACCACCCUUCUCACCUGCCGAGUCCACUUAAGCUUGGGUCCCUCCCAGACUCUGCUCUUGCUUCCCUGUGGGCCAGGCUGUACUCACAGGGCAGAUGGGCCAGCCCCACCCAAAGCGUUUCCCCAGCUGCCAAGACUAGCAUGGGGCUAGCAUUGUUAUAUGGCCCCGGGCUGGAAAUCCCAGGUGGGGGUAGGAGGAGUGAGAAGGGGGUGUUCUCCUGGGUCUUAAGAGAUUCCCUUCUGCGGGGAAAGAUGGAGUCCCUGCUAGUUUGCCCAGAGUGGCUUUCAAAAUUCCACAGGCCAGGUGCCUUAAAUAUCAGAAACAUUCUCUACAGUUCUGGAGGCCAGAAAUGUUAGAUGAAGGUGUGGGUGGGGCCGAAUCCUUCUGAGGCCGAGGGGAGUCUCCCAGUUCGUAGUGGUGGCCAGUAUACUCCAGGUUCCUUGGCUUGUGGAAGCGUCACCUUGUCCUCCCUGCAUCACGUCUGUGCCCACAUUUCCCCUUUUCCCCUUCCACACAGACGCCAAGCAGAAUUUAGGGCCUACCCUGACAACCCCUUUUUACUUUAUUUACUUAUUUUUUUAGACGGGGGUCUUGCUAUGUUGCCCAGGCUGGAGUGCAGUGGUGCAAUCUCGGCUUCCUGUAACUUCUCCCUCCCGGUUUCAAGUGAUUCUCCUGCCUCAGCCGCCCAAGUAGCUGGGAUUACAGGCGUGCGCCAUCAUGCCCAGCUAAUUUUUGUAUUUUUAGUAGAGACGAGGUUUCGCCAUGUUGGCACUCCUGACCUCAGGUGAUCCUCCCGCCUCGGCCUCCCAAAGUGCUGGGAUUACGGUCUUGAGCCACCGUCUCCGGCCCUCUUUCUUUUUGAGACGGGAUCUCUUGUUUCCCAGGCUGGAGUGCAGUGGCGUGAUCACAGCUCCCUGCAGCCUCAACCCCCUUGGCUCAAGCGAUCCUCCCACUUCUGACUCCGGAGUGGCUGGGCCUACAAGGCCCCACCACCACACCUGGCUAAUUUUUGUUUUUGUAGAGAUGGGGAUUUUGCCAUGUCACCCAGGGUGGUCUGGAACUCCUGAGCUCAAGCAAUCCUCCCACGUUGGCCUCUCAAAGCGCUGGGAUUAUAGGCGUGAGCCACCGUGCCCGGCGACCACCUCAUUUUAACUAGUUUAUUUGCAAAGACCCUAUUUCCAUACAGGGUCACACUCAUGGGUUCUGGGGGUCAGGACAUGAACGCAUCUUUGUGGGGGCCAGAGGAGGGACAGUUAUGGGCAGUGGCAAGAGGAAGCUGCUUGUGGCUGUGGGUAGGACCGACCGCAGGUGUUCCCUCCCCAGGCUUCAUCGAGGACCCUGAGAGGAAGUAUCACUUUGAGUGCAGCAGCGAGGAGCAGUGUCAAGAGUGGAUGGAGGCUCUGCGUCAGGCCAGCUACGAGUUCAUGCGGAGAAGCCUCAUCUUCUACAGGAAUGAAAUACGGAAGGUGACGGGCAAGGUGUGUGCAGGGCUGCAGAGGGCUGGGGUGGGGCUGCAGGUGGCUGGGGUGGGGCUGCAGGUGGCAGAAGCAGUCCUCCGGCCCUGGCUCAUGGCCACCCGUCCACCCCACAGGACCCCCUGGAACAGUUCGGCAUAUCCGAGGAGGCCAGGUUCCAGCUGAGUGGCUUGCAGGCAUGAGCGCAGGGCAUGGCGGUCAGCGUGCAGCUGGACAGGACUGGCCCUGCCCAGCCGUGAAUCGCUUGGCGAUGCCUGGAUUUGUUUUGUUUUGGUUUUUGGGUCAGGGUCUCACUGUGUUGCCCAGGCACAGUGGUGCCACAGCUCACUGUGACCUUGACCUUCUGGACUCAAGUGAUCCUCCUGCCUCAGCUUCCCAAGUAGUGGGGGUCACAGGCAUGAGCCGCCACACCCGGCCAUCACACCUGGAUUUUCAGUGGGAGGUUUUUGGUUUGGAGACAUCCAAAGCCUGAAGCCAGAUGGGUGUGGGCAGGGGCUGCAUUUUAUGAAACUGCCCAGCAAGCUGCCCUCCCUGAGGCCCCAGGAUCCACCUAACUGGCCUGGCACCUGGUGCCACAUGCUGCUGCCAGGAUAUGCGCCCUCCCACAGGUGCCCCGCCUGAGUUGUGUGCAUCCAGGACCUGGCGAGCCCCUGGGCUGGUGGCAUGGCUCCCCUGCCCCGUGCUGAAUGAAUGUACGGAGCCAGACAAAGCUGUGAAUGGCAUAGGGGCUGAGUCCCCCACCAGCUGUGAAUUCUGCAAACAGGAGGGCCCUGGCUGUCUGUGCACCUGGGGAAGUGGCUGCCCUGGGGCCGGGGUGCUUGUUCUGUUCAAAUAAAGGUACCUCUUCUCCAC
rnacentral:sRNA from 1 species